GAGCGCGUAGGCGGGGUAGUAAGUCAGAUGUGAAAUCCUAUGGCUUAACCAUAGAACUGCAUUUGAAACUACUACUCUAGAGUAUGGGAGAGGUAGGUGGAAUUCUUGGUGUAGGGGUAAAAUCCGUAGAGAUCAAGAGGAAUACUCAUUGCGAAGGCGACCUGCUGGAACAUUACUGACGCUGAUGCGCGAAAGCGUGGGGAGCAAACAGGAUUAGAUACCCUGGUAGUCCACGCCCUAAACGAUGAAUGCUAGUUGUUGUGGAGCUUGUCUCUGCAGUAAUGCAGCUAACGCAUUAAGCAUUCCGCCUGGGGAGUACGGUCGCAAGAUUAAAACUCAAAGGAAUAGACGGGGACCCGCACAAGCGGUGGAGCAUGUGGUUUAAUUCGAAGAUACGCGAAGAACCUUACCUAGGCUUGACAUUGAUAGAAUCUGCUAGAGAUAGCGGAGUGCUGGCUUGCCAGAGCUUGAAAACAGGUGCUGCACGGCUGUCGUCAGCUCGUGUCGUGAGAUGUUGGGUUAAGUCCCGCAACGAGCGCAACCCUCGUCCUUAGUUGCUAACAGUUUGGCUGAGCACUCUAGGGAGACUGCCUUCGUAAGGAGGAGGAAGGUGAGGACGACGUCAAGUCAUCAUGGCCCUUACGCCUAGGGCUACACACGUGCUACAAUGGGAUGCACAAAGAGACGCAAUACCGCGAGGUGGAGCAAAUCUCAAAAACAUCUCUUAGUUCGGAUUGUAGUCUGCAACUCGACUACAUGAAGCUGGAAUCGCUAGUAAUCGUGAAUCAGCCAUGUCACGGUGAAUACGUUCCCGGGUCUUG
rnacentral:rRNA from 1 species